AGAGCAGCGCGCGGGGCAGACCUCCUCGGGUCCUCCGGCGCUUCGGUCUCCGGAGACGCCCGGCCUCCUGAAGGGUUCGGCUUGUCCUCCUCUGGCGCUCAGCUCCCUCUGGCGGCCGGGCUGGCAGGACCUCAGCGCCCAGCCCUUCCGUCUUGUUACGUCCAGGGUCUCACUCUGUGUCUCAGGCUGGAGUACAGUGGUGCAAUUGUAGAUGGCUGCAGCCCUCGACCUCCUGGGCUCAAGUGAUCCUCCUGCCUUAGCCUCUCGAGUAGCUGGGAGUACAGAUGCACACCACCACACCCAGCCUAGAAUGAAGAAACCUGCAGUUGGGAAGCAUGAAUUUACCACCUAUUAAGAAGUAGUCAUCAGGCAUGACCUCCCAUGGGUGCUCACAGAAGAUGGUGCCGUGCAUGUGCAGAACUUCCCAGGCCAAGAUCCACCACAUUGGACCCACUGAGAGACACACUGCCUUAUGCCAGGGACCUGGUGGAAAGGUCACCCCCAGAAUGGACAGGCUGGGAAGAGCUCACUUAACAGUGCACUGGUUUACUGAGACAAUUCAAAACACACAUUCAUUUUGUGUGCUUAUGAAAUAUAUCCCAAGAUCCCCUUUUAUUUUUCAGAAUUGUGGCUUGCAUUGUAAGAGGAGCCUGUGAAUUCAGAGGCAAGUCUGCUGAGGACCGAAUGUUCCUGUCCAUAAAAACAGAAGUCUGGCCUGGGCUCCUCUCUUGGGUGAAUUUGCAAUGCCAGAUCCUCUCUAUCAGUUUGGUUUUGUUUCUUGUAUCUCUGGGAAGGCAGGCAGACAGCACGGUCACCUGUGAAUGCAGCUACAAUUGGCUUAGCUGCCUCACUGAUAAAUGUGCCCCCAGUAAGCUACAAAGGGAUUACCAGCGUUCUCAGCAGCUAAAGGAACUGGUGAAGAUUUCCCCAGCAAAAAGUAGAAGCUCAGUGUUUCAUAGAUGAAGACUGGGGAGAUUGCAAAAGACCCAUCCAGAGUCUCACUUUGUCGCCCAGGCUGGAGUACAGUGGUGCGAUCUUGGCUCUCUGCAACCUCUGCCUCCCAGGUUCAAGUAAUUCUCCUGCCUCAGCCUCCCGAGUAGCUGGUACUACAGGCACACAUUUGUAGAGAUGGUGUUUCCCCAUGUCAUCCAGGCUGGUCUGGAACUCCUGGGAUCAAGUAAUCCACCCGCCUCGGCCUCCCAAAGUGCUGGGAUUACAGACGUGAGCCACCACGCCCUGCCAAUAAAAAGAUUAUCUCCAGAUGCUGGAAUGACCAGUAAUUUAUUUUCUUCCUUUUUUUUUGUCUGCACUUUCUACCAUAAUCAUAUGUUAGCUUCUUACUAAGAAGAAAAGUCAAUGUUAUUUCCCUGAAAAAGUAAUGUUGUUUGGUUAUUAAACAAAUUUAAUUUUCUAAACAAGAGUACGACAGGUAAACUGCCUACCUUAAAAGCAAACGAACACAAAUAAAUAAACUAACCAUCUUCCACUUCAGUCUCUGUCCUUUCACCAGAGUUGCUGAUCAGCCCAGAAUGGACUGAUUUGAAUUUGCUUAGUUGUUCAUUCAUUCAUUUAUUUAACAAGUAUUUAUUAAGCACUUGCUCUGUAGAAAGCACUGUGCUGGUAUUGGAAUACUGGCUUAUGUAAGUGUGAUAGUAAUGGGAUUCUGACUUAGGCCUGACUCCUGGGCCGUAAUGUUUGGAUACUAUGUAUACAUCUAACUAUAAAACGAG
rnacentral:lncRNA from 1 species